rnacentral:rRNA from 1 species
CCUACGGGCGGCAGCAGUGGGGAAUAUUGCGCCAUGGGCGAAAGCCGGACGCAGCGACGCAGCGUUAGUGAUGAAGGUCUUAGGAUCGUAAAACUAUGUCAGCAGGGAAGAACGGGCCCUGUGCUAAUCAGCAGUGAAUUGACGGUACCUGCAAAGGAAUCACCGGCUAACUACGUGACAGCUGCCGCGGUAAUACGGCGGGUGCGAGCGUGAAUCGGGUUUACUGGGAGGAACUCGCUCGUAGGCGGUAUGUCAAGUCAAUGGUGAAAUCCCCGCGCCCAACGUGGGACCUGCAUGUGAAACUGGCAUACUGGAGUGUGUGGGAGGAUAGUGGAAUUCCAGGUGUAGGAGUGAAAUCCUUAGAUAUCUGGAGGAA